rnacentral:lncRNA from 1 species
CCCUUCAGACGUCCCAGAUCUCAGAGAACUCACAGAACUCCGGGCUCACUCAGAACUUUGCUCCUCACAAAGGCUGUGCUAAAAAGAGGAAAAACGAAAGUGGUGCUCAGAACUCUACUGAAUGGGAACAAGGGCUCUGUUUGGGAAAAGAGUUCAUCUCAUCCUCCAUGCAUGUAUUUUUUAUACGCAGUGCUGCAUUUCAACUUAUACCUUUCUCUGAAGAGCCCUACUGUUGGUCCCUACACAGGCUCCAGCCCCUGGGCAGAGGAACAGGAUGGUGGCAGAGCAAUGGCCUGGGAGGUUUAAUUUUUUUUUCUCCUGGAUGCUGAAUGCAGCGGCCCUUUUGUGAACAGCCAUUGUUUACAUUCUCCCUAACAAAAGUUGGGAUUUCCUCUGAUGCCAGCAGCCUCGUCACCGAUCUGUACAGCCAGCCAGAUGCUCAGAAAAGAUUUUUAAUAGUGGCUGAAUCAAUGUGAGCAUGCUCAGUGCUUGCAGCAGCAGCCUCCUGAAAGCCAAAGGCACUGGGACAGGAGGAGACUCCUCGUCACUGCUGAGCAAUCUUGCGUACAGAGGCCAAGCAGCCAGCACAGCUCCCUGCAGACCUCGGGCCAGGGGCUGUUUGCACGUCUUCAAAGCGUCUGCUGACAUCCCUCUGCUCAGAGGAGCCCCUAGUGUAUGGGGUGAGAUCUUUUCCAUGGGGAUUGCAGACACCAGGUUCCCAACAUUUGGAUUUUGACCAUAAAAUCGGAAGGUUUCUCAAAACCUGUUGCUGAAGUGCCUAGGGAGCCAUCUGCCUCCUUAACAGUUUUCUUUAAGAAUUUCUUCCCAUCUCAGAAGACCAAAUCUGACAGCACUGCGCCCUGCUUUGCCAUUGGAGAUACUGUGGAGUCUCCUUCUCUGCAGAUAUUCAAAACCCACCUGAACGCUUUGCUGUGUGACCUACUGCAGGGAACCUGCUUUAGCAGGGGAGCUGGAGCAGGUGAUCCCCAGAGGUCCCUUCCAACCCCUACAGUUCUGUGAUUCUGUGCCACCGGCUGUGCAACGGCGAUGCAAUUUGGAGCUAUCUGCAUCCAUCCCAGGGGACAAAGUGAAGAUUUUUCUCUCCCUCUCUCCAUUAUGUGCUCUGAGGAACACAGUGACAACGACACAAACUUGAUGCAACAUUGAUGAAAACUCUCCUGGCAUCAUUAAAAAAAAUAAAUGAACGUCACCAUAGACCGCAAAGGUUUCUGAAAUGAAAGUUUCUCUUUGCAGCGCAUCGCUUCCCUCUUGCACCUAAAACUGUCCAGUAGCAAUUCAACUUAAAAUCAUUAAAAACAUCAAAGCUCCUGAAUCAUUUCCAAUGGAAAUAGGUGGACAACAACCCGAUGGUAAAGCUGCAUGCAGUCACCAUAGCGACGGGGCUUCUGAAAGGAUGCAGAGAGCAUCGCCAACGUCCACAGCGUGUGGAGGAGCACAAGCGGCCGAAAUGGGGGCUGGGGCAGGCAAGGAUUUGAUGAUUAAGGAUUUGGAGCAUCUCCCAUACGAGAAAAGGCUGAGAGACCUGGGACUGCUCAGUCUGGAGAAGAGAAGGCCGAGAGAGGAUCUCAUCACUGUUUAUAAAUAUUUGAAGCGCGGGAGCCAAGUCAAUGGGAGCAGACUCAUUUCAGUGGUGUGCAGCAGUAGAACAAGGGGAGAAACUGCAAUACAAGAAGUUCCUCUGUAGCACAAGAAGGAACUUUUUCAGUCACUGAAGGAGCACUGGAAAAGGCUGCCCAAAAAGGCCGUGGAGUCUCCUUCUCUGGAGAUAUCCAGGACCCAUCUGGACACCGAGCUUUGUGACCUGCUGUAGUACCUGCUUUAGCAGGAGGGUCAGUCUCAGUGUUAUUUCUAGAGAUCCCUUCCAAAACCUGCAAUUCUGAGAUUCUGUGACCACUUUGCUGCACUCUCCACCAAAAGACGAACUGGGGGGGACCUGGGGACUGCAGAUCCCCACGGGGGACCCUCUAGAGAUGUCUGCUGCAUGUUGUCCAGGCUGCAUGUUGUCCAGGCUGGGGGAGAGACCUCAUCACCAAAAUGGAUCUUUGCCAUUUUGAAUUUCAACUUGAGUGAGCCCAGAAGAACAUUAAAAAAUAUAUUUAAAAAUGAGCAGAAGCCAGGAUGAACCAGUUUGACACCACAGCCCCCCCCUUCCUCCCCCUUAAACACUCUGGAGGCGUUCAAGGCCAGGUUGGAUGGUGCUCUGGGCAGCCUGACCUGGUGAGUGGAAGCCCCAUGGCAGGGGGUUGAAAGUGGGUGGGAUUUGAGGUCCCUUCUAACGCAAAGCAUUCUGUGAUUCUAUGAUUAAAAAUAAAGGGCUUUGGACUCCUCUGGAUCUAUCACAGGACACAGCUCCAAGAGGACUUCAUCUCAUUCCAAAAGAAGAGACCACAGAGAAGUAUUGCUUUGCUACUCAGCGAAGAGCAAAUACUACUGAUAAAUAAUGUUGAUGAAGUCAGAGUGCUUAAUACUUUUUCUAUUAUUGAUCUUCAGUGGAAAUAUCGCUGCCAAGCAGGCAGUUAACAGAGAAAGUGAGAUGUAAGCCCAGAGUAAAAAAUUGGCUUGAGGGCACCUGGAUGAGCAAAACGUUCUUAGAUUCACUGUGUGGAUGUGGAGUCUUCAGUACAGGAAAUACAUGGACCUAUUGGAGCACAUCUAGAAGAGAGCCACAGAAAUGAUUCUGGGGGUGAAAAAAACAGCCUUGAGGACAAGCUGAGGAAGAGAAGGCUCUGGGGAGACCUGAGAGUGGCCUUUCAGUAUCUAAAGGGGGGCUGCGAAAAAUAAGGGGACAGACACUUUAGCAGAGUCUGUUGGGAAAGGAUGGGGGGAAAUGGUUUUGAACUAAAAGAAGGGAGAUUUAGACUGGAUAUGAGGAAAAAGGUUUUUAUGAUAAGGAUGGUGAGGCAGUGGCACAGGUUGCCCAGAGAGGUGGUGGAUCCCCAUCCCUGGAGACAGCCAAGGUCAAUCUGGAGGGGCUCUGAGCACCCUGAUGGAGCUGUGGGUGUCCCUGUUCAUUGCAGGGGAGUUGGACUGGAUGGCCUUUAAGGGUCUCUUCCAACUCAAGGAAUUCUAUGAUUCUACAAUUCUAUGAAUUUCAUCCAGAAACGAUGGCUAUUAUCUCAAGUUAUCUUCUGGUGGUUAAUUUGGGGAAUUUGUGGCAGAUAUGUCGGAGCACCCAAAGAUUAAAAAAGGGCAAAGGAAUUAAAAACACAUUAAACAGCAGAGAAGAGGAGACAAGAGAAUUUGCAGGCCAGUCAGCUCAACUUCAACUCUCAGAAAAAAAAAAAUCUGGAACAAAUAAUCUGCUCAUUUGUAAAUUUCUAGGAGAUAGCAACAAGAGAAGCAGGCAGCUUGGGCUUGUCAACAGUGAGCCCUGCCAACCCAACUGAACUGCCUUCCAAGAGAGAAGAGCAGGCUCUGUGGAUGAAGGAGAAGCUCCAGAUGUGGCACAGCUCAGUGGCAGCAAGGCUUCCACAUGGUCUCAAGUGAUGCUCCCCUACACCAGGCAGGGAUACUCAUUGGAUGAAACCAGGUGGCAAAACCCUGCAUUAUUUCAGUCUGUAGCAGUGGUUUACAAUCAACAUGAAAGGUUGAAGUGGGUGAGGAUCAGUCAGGACCAGCUCAGGUGCGUGACCAUGCACUGGUUUCACAUAAAUCAGCUGCUUUCUGGAAGAAAGAUGAGGUUUGUUAAAGUCACAGAUGACCCAAAGCUGUGUCAGGCUACAAGUAACACAGAUAACUGUCCCGAAAAUAAUACAAAAGAUGUUUCAUACAAUAAAAUAAGACAUUCAAAUUUCAGGUGUACUUACUAAUAACAUCUUGGAAAGACUGACUAUACAUAUAGAUGAGAUCAGUCUAAAUCCUUAUAGUUACAUAUCUCCCUAAAUCAGGAAAUUGCCUUCUACUAGAGCACUGUGGAGAGCUCGCCUCCUGAUUUGUGCUGUCUCUGCAAAAGGGGAACCAAGACAUCUUUUAUUUUACACUUUCAUUUCUUAUUUUGAAGGACUCUAUUUUGCCUCAGGUGCACUAUAACUCACAUCAGUGACAAAGAAAUGUGAAAAGACUUCACUGCAUUACCCGCAAGCCUGGAGCUUCCAUCAGCUGGGAAUUCAAAGACACUCCGAGCUUUGUGCUGGCUGUUGUGGCAAGAAAACAGGCACAGAGCAGACUAGGGCUGAUCAUCAGAAAACUCUAUUGGUCAAACACAAGUGUUCACAACUGGUCCACUAACCACACAGGCUGACCUUCAUAGAAAUCAUACCUAUUCAGAUGAUAACAUGGAAAGCACGGUUCUUGGUAUCAUGUGUUCUCCAAAAUAACACCACUAGAACCAUGUCUCUGUCUUGCACUGGGUAACUCAUGCUGGAAGACAAACUGAAUUUGAGCAAAGGUUCUCACCACAGUGUGCAAGACUGCUCAGGGACCAUGCCAGACGCCAUGUUGAGCACCCAGAGGAAGAGUCCGGUGCUGCAUUCAACACAACAAAGUUCAGAAAUGAGUUUUAGCUUUAAGGAAGAAGUGCUAAAGGAAAAUUACUGUGGAGAUAAGUAUCACCUUAUGUCCCAAAAGAGAGCUAAAACAAGGUUACUGCAGCUUGGCAAAGAAUCCAAGCAGGAGUGGAGGCCACAUUUCCCCAAGACCUUCACCUUCCACAACAUGCAUUCUUCAUUGGUAGAGUCACAGCAUCUGCUGGAAAGCUCACUGGAAUUUCAGCCUAGAAGGAGUCACUCUCACCCUCAGAGUGUCCUUAGGUGACAUUAAAUCUUAAGUGAUAUCUUCAAUGGCAUCUUUGGAAAUCACUUGGAUAGACUAAUAUAUAAUUCGAUGACCAAAUCGUUUGAAACUAUUGAUUUAUACAUUCAAUCUUAAUCAUGAUCUUGGUGUGAUCAUCUCAUUGGUCUGCUGUCAUUUAGUUCAGUAAAACUAAUGAAUUAGUUUAGCAAUACCCUUGCUCAGGUGUGCCUCCAUUCGCUGACUCUUACUAAUUAAAUCUGCAAGGAAUACGCAAAGCAGGUUUACCCUACUGAACAGAGGUCACAAACCAGAGGGUAGCAGCAGCUUUGGGUAGGUCCCACACAAGCAGAUCGGCUCUGCAUCUCCCUAGUCAAUAGCCCAUGCACCCUGCGAAUGAAGCCAUCUCCCAGCAGUGUUGGUCACUCAAAGACCACCCACUGCAUGAGUGGUAUGAAUCAUAGAAUCAUAAAACCGUUAAGGUUGGAAAAGACUUUGAAAAUCACCUAGUGCAACCAUCAACCCACCCUCACCAUGCUCACUGACCCUCAGUGCCACAUCCUCACGGUUCUGGAACAUCUCCAGGGACCUCCCUGGGCAGAUGGUUCCAGUGCAGCACCUUUCUUUCUGAAAAGAAAUUGUUCCUAAUAUCCAACCUGGCACAACUUGAGGCCAUUCCAUCUCAUCCUAUUGCUGAUACCUGGAAGAAGAGGCCAACCCCCACCUUGCCACAACCUCCUUUCAGGUUAUUGUGGAGAGAAAUAAGGUCUUCCUGAGCUCCUCUUCUCCAGCCUGAACAACCCCAGUUCCCUCAGCCGCUCCCCAUCAGAGCUGUGCUCCAGACCCCUCACAGCUCCGCUGCCCUUCUCUGGACACACUCCAGGGCCUCCAUGUCUUUCUUGCAGUGAGGGGCCCAGAACUGAACACAGCACUCGAGGUGCAGCCUCACCAGAGCUGAGUACAGAGAGAUGGUCACCUUCCUGCUCCUGCUGGCUGCACUAUUUCUGAUACAAGCCAGGAUGCCAUUGGCCUUCUUGGCCACCUGGGCACACUGCUGGCUCAUGUUUGCUGGCUGUCAGCUAGCACCCCCAGAUCCUUUUCCUCCACGCAUCUUUCCAGCCACUCUGCCCCAGGUCUGUAAUGAUGCAUGGGGAUUUUGUAACAGAAAUGCAGGAUCGAGGUCAGCUGCCCUGGACCUAUACACCUACAGCAGAGGACAUCACACCAUGUAUGAGUACAGGAUGUGGCCUUCCUGACCAUCCAGUUAGUUAAUCGUGUUUGUUACAGACACUGAUAUCUGUUAGCUUUGUGACAAGGCCAGAAUGUAUUGCCUGAACUUUGUGCUGGCUUAAAAAAUUAUAAACAAGCCAUUUUUUUAAUUCUUAUUUUUACUGGGAAAGCUGUUACAGGCCUGGUUUGUGGCCAAUUUCAGUCAGUGGCAGGCUUUAAUUGGGUUUUGUUUCCAGCAGCAGCCUCUUUUAAAAUCAGCCCUCUGCUCGUAAGCAGGACUGGGCCCUGUCAGACUUCAGUCACUCCAUCCUAGGCCAGGCUUUGGGACAGGGGAUGAUGGAUUACUGUCAGAGCAGGCAUGUGAGCGCUGGUCGCCUCAGCAUGGGCUGUUUGCUCCACAUUGGAAAGAAGGGAGAAAUACAGCCCUGGGGAGGGGGGGUUUGGUGGCUGGGCCAACUGCCAGCCUCCAUUUCCAGAUAGGGAGGAAGGGCUCAAGCCUUUUUAGGCAUUUUCUUGGACUUCCUCUCCAUCGUUUAAUUAAAACACCCAGAAAAGAGCUAUGCACCCUUCAUUCCAUGCCUCAGCCCUUGCCUUGGCCCUGUGAAUGGGGAUGGGCCCAGUGCAGGCCAUGUCCCAACAGACCUGGCACCCACCUCGGCCAAAAUAAGUCACGAAGGUUUUUCUUGCAAGGGAGUAAAUGUGCAGUGAUGACUCAGGCACAGCCACCAAGCCCCAGUCUCUUUCAUGGGGCCCACACCCUUGUGCCAAGCAUUUACUCCUUGCUUCCAUCGUGUGAGCUGGUGAAAGGCUCAUCUGGACUUUCCAACAUUUUAUGACGUCUGUACAUCUCCCACUUUGCACUUUUUCUUCCUUGGAGCUGGUUCUUGAACAGCAAAAUAUUUGCAAUUGUGUAAGUAUUGAGAAUAAAGUAACAACACCUGGAGGCAUUCAAGGCCAGGUUGGAUGGAGCCUUGGGCUACCUGAUCUGGUGCUUCAUCUGCCCACGGCAGGGGCUUGGAACCAGAUGAUCUUUGAGGUCCCUUUCAACUCAAGCCAUUCUAUGAUUCUGUGAUUUAACAUCAAACUUCAAAUCACUUUUCUGAUCACCAGGGAAAGCCCGCUACGUCCCCCCAGCGUCAUCUGUAUGUUUCUUCCGCUAUAACAGAAGUAAAACAAAGCACUUCAUGUCUGCGUGAUGAAAACAACAUUAAAAAGUUCUCUAAAAUUUUGCAGUGGGACAGUAUUUAGGGCUAUAACACCAUCAGAGUCUGAUCUCCAUGGCCCCUUGUACAAGGCAGUUGGAGGAUGCUAACAACUUGGCCUCAUGACAGCAUAAAGUCCAAGGCCACCUAACGUCAGCAUCACUUGAUAGAAGAGAAUGAGAGAACAAAAACCUCAUGGAUUUUGCAACGUGAAGAUUCAUGAUGGACCUUCUGGGAAGAGAAGUGAUAAAGCCAAAUGCAUUAGGAAGUACUUCAGGAUAAAUCAGCUGCUGCUGUAAAUGUAUUCAUUUAAAUGCAAUUUCAUUCAGAAGACAGAAGAGAGGUCACAGAGAAACAGUGGCACCGACGUUCCUGUGUAACGAUCCCAAUGUGCUUUAUGUAAGAGGGGAAGCAUCACCUCCCUGCUGAAGGGAAGAGCUGAGCUUCGGGAGUGAAAGAUGGUGAUUUGCCAACACUGGGACAGCAGGCGAGUCUCCUGGUGCUAUUCCACACUUGUGCUUUUGACGUGGAACAGAAUAUGAAAACAAUGCAUAACGAUAAAUGCAUUUCAGAGUGUGAGAUCAGCUUUAAAUCACCAGAUUUCAAGCAGUGGUGUUUCCUACACAGAGUCCACCUCUGCCCCUCUGCUAAACCCAGCAGUCUACUCUGCACUUUUUGCUCUUUCAAAGGGACACUGUAUGGCAUGUUUGUUAGGACGAUAAUGCUGCAUUUGCUAAUGAAAUUAAGUGUUUUGGAGAAGUUCUUUUAAGCAAAACCAUGUGUUCCGGGGAGGAAACAUUCUUCUGGUAAACAGCUGAGCCCUUAACAUUUAGCAACAUAACUCUGUUUGCAGCUAUUGAAAGCUGUGUGACUAAGGAAGCCUGCAUUUCUGGGGCCGAGGACUGCAAGCAUUUUGCUUGUUGUCAGCCAGCCAGGCGUUUCUUUUAUGUAUAAGCUAGCUGCAAGAACCAGCUAUUGACUGGUUGCUUCUUAUGGUUUUAAUAAAAUUUGUCUCGUAUCAAAAUGUUGCUGGGUUUCAACAUUGACACCGUGCUGAGCAGCGCUCUCUGCUCAGGCACAGCUGGGUCCUGCUUUCCAGAAUUAUCACUGUGCCCUGGCAUUGCUUGCAAAGAUUGAAG